rnacentral:misc_RNA from 1 species
GAUGAAGAACGUAGCGAAAUGCGAUAAGUAGUGUGAAUUGCAGAAUUCAGUGAAUCAUCGAAUCUUUGAACGCACAUUGCGCCCUUUGGUAUUCUUUAGGGCAUGCCUGUUCGAGCGUCAUUUAAACCUUCAAGCUCAGCUUGGUGUUGGGUGACUGUCCGCUUCACCGCGGACUCGCCUCAAAAUUAUUGGCGGCCGGUACAUUGGCUUCGAGCGCAGCAGAAACGCGAACUCGGGCCCGUCGUAUUGGCUCCCAGAAGCUAUCUUCACAAUUUUGACCUCGGAUCAGGUAGGGAUACCCGCUGAACUUAAGCAUAUCAAUAAGCGGAGGA